AAAACUUUGUUCAGGAGAUAAAAAUCUCAAUCAGGAAUUUGUGUUUUCCUGUGAGCUUUUUAUCUCCAGAGAAAUCUAAGAACUGAAAGUCUAUGAAGUAAUCUGAGAAUCUGGGGGAAAAAGUGAGCUCUUCAUUGUUUGCAAAUUGAUAGAAAAUAAUUUGUGCUUAUAAAAAAGGCCCUUAUUUGACAUAAAGUGCUUUAUUUAUAAAGAAAAAAAACAUGCAGAAGUUGUUUUAGAGACGAUUAUCAGUAAUGAAAGAAGCAAAGGAAGCUUUAAAAAAAAAACAUGAUCUGAAUAUACAUGAUGUUAUCACUAAAAGGUACAUUCUAAUAUAAUGUAAAAUCAUAAAACGAUGCUCACAUAUCAAAGAUAUAAAAACUGGCAAAUGGAAAAACUAUGAAAAUAAGAUUAGUGAAGAAACACAGUUUUGAAA
rnacentral:lncRNA from 1 species